rnacentral:rRNA from 1 species
UACGUAGGGACCAAGCGUUGUUCGGAUUUACUGGGCGUAAAGGCGCGUAGGCGGCAAUUCAAGUCAUCUGUGAAAUCUCCGGGCUUAACCCGGAACGGUCAGAUGAUACUGCUUUGCUAGAGUGCGGAAGGGGCAAUCGGAAUUCUUGGUGUAGCGGUGAAAUGCGUAGAUAUCAAGAGGAACACCUGAGGUGAAGACGGGUUGCUGGGCCGACACUGACGCUGACAGCGCGAAAGCCAGGGGAGCAAACGGG